rnacentral:rRNA from 1 species
AGUGAACGCUGGCGGUAGGCCUAACACAUGCGAGUCGAACGGCAGCACAGUAAGAGCUUGCUCUUACGGGUGGCGAGUGGCGGACGGGUGAGGAAUACAUCGGAAUCUACUUUUUCGUGGGGGAUAACGUAGGGAAACUUGCGCUAAUACCGCAUACGACCUACGGGUGAAAGCAGGGGAUCUUCGGACCUUGCGCGAUUGAAUGAGCCGAUGUCGGAUUAGCUAGUUGGCGGGGUAAAGGCCCACCAAGGCGACGAUCCGUAGCUGGUCUGAGAGGAGGGUGGCGCGCAUGGUAGGAGAGACACGCGAAAGACACCUACGUGAGGCGGCAGGGGGGAAUAGUGGACAAUGGGCGCAAGGUGGGCCCAGCCUUAUGGAGUGGGAGAAGAAGGCCUUCUGGUUGUGAGGCCCUUCUGUUGGGACAGAAAAGCAGAAGGUUAAUACCCCGCUGGUCUGACGGUACGGAAAGAAUAAGCACCGGCUAACUUCGUG